rnacentral:rRNA from 1 species
AGCGAACGCUGGCGGCAGGCCUAACACAUGCAAGUCGAACGAAGUCUUCGGACUUAGUGGCGGACGGGUGAGUAACACGUGGGAACGUGCCUUUAGGUUCGGAAUAACUCAGGGAAACUUGUGCUAAUACCGAAUGUGCCCUUCGGGGGAAAGAUUUAUCGCCUUUAGAGCGGCCCGCGUCUGAUUAGCUAGUUGGUGAGGUAAAGGCUCACCAAGGCUACGAUCAGUAGCUGGUCUGAGAGGAUGACCAGCCUCAUUGGGACUGAGACACGGCCCAAACUCCUACGGGAGGCAGCAGCGGGGAAUCUUGCGCAAUGGGCGAAAGCCUGACGCAGCCAUGCCGCGUGGAUGAUGAAGGUCUUAGGAUUGUAAAAUCCUUUCACCGGUGAAGAUAAUGACUGUAGCCGGAGAAGAAGCCCCGGCUAACUUCGUGCCAGCCGCCGCGGUAAGAC